AAGUCGUAACAAGGUUUCCGUAGGUGAACCUGCGGAAGGAUCAUUAGUGAACGCCCUCACGGGCUUAUAACUAUUCCAAACCUCUGUGAACCGUGCCCUUCGGGGCUAUUUUACAAACAUGGUGUAAUGAACGUCAUAUAUCAUAACAAAACAAAACUUUCAACAACGGAUCUCUUGGUUCUGGCAUCGAUGAAGAACGCAGCGAAAUGCGAUAAGUAAUGUGAAUUGCAGAAUUCAGUGAAUCAUCGAAUCUUUGAACGCACAUUGCGCUCGCCAGUAUUCUGGCGAGCAUGCCUGUUCGAGCGUCAUUUCAACCAUCAAGCUCUGCUUGCGUUGGGGAUCCGCGGCUGCCCGCGGUCCCUCAAAAACAGUGGCGGGCUCGCUAGUCACACCGAGCGUAGUAACUCUACAUCGCUAUGGUCGUGCGGCGGGUUCUUGCCGUAAAACCCCCCAAUUUCUAAGGUUGACCUCGGAUCAGGUAGGAAUACCCGCUGAACUUAA
rnacentral:rRNA from 1 species